rnacentral:rRNA from 1 species
UACGUAUGGAGCAAGCGUUAUCCGGAUUUACUGGGUGUAAAGGGAGUGUAGGUGGCAUCACAAGUCAGAAGUGAAAGCCCGGGGCUCAACCCUGGGACUGCUUUUGAAACUGUGGAGCUGGAGUGCAGGAGAGGCAAGUGGAAUUCCUAGUGUAGCGGUGAAAUGCGUAGAUAUUAGGAGGAACACCAGUGGCGAAGGCGGCUUGCUGGACUGUAACUGACACUGAGGCUCGAAAGCGUGGGGAGCAAACAGG